GUAGCGCAAUGGAUAUCGCUUUGGACUUCUAAUCCAAAGGUCGUGGGUUCGAAUCCCACCUUAAUUCA
rnacentral:tRNA from 1 species